CGGACGGGUGAGUAAUGUCUGGGAAACUGCCCGAUGGAGGGGGAUAACUACUGGGAACGGUAGCUAAUACCGCAUAACGUCGCAAGACCAAAGAGGGGGACCUUCGGGCCUCUUGCCAUCGGAUGUGCCCAGAUGGGAUUAGCUAGUAGGUGGGGUAACGGCUCACCUAGGCGACGAUCCCUAGCUGGUCUGAGAGGAUGACCAGCCACACUGGAACUGAGACACGGUCCAG
rnacentral:rRNA from 1 species